UGAGGAAUCUUGCGCAAUGGGGGAAACCCUGACGCAGCAACGCCGCGUGGAGGAUGAAGGUCUUCGGAUUGUAAACUCCUGUCAGAGGGGACGAAUGCUUGCGGGCUAAUCACCGUAAGCUUGACGGUACCCUCAGAGGAAGCCACGGCUAACUCUGUGCCAGCAGCCGCGGUAAUACAGAGGUGGCGAGCGUUAUUCGGAAUUAUUGGGCGUAAAGGGCGCGUAGGCGGCUUGACAAGUCCCGGGUGAAAUCCCUCGGCUCAACCGAGGAACUGCCUUGGAAACUGUCUGGCUUGAGGCCGGGAGAGGGUAGUGGAAUUCCCAGUGUAGCGGUGAAAUGCGUAGAUACUGGGAGGAACACCGGUGGCGAAGGCGGCUACCUGGACCGGUUCUGACGCUGAGGCGCGAAAGCGUGGGUAGCAAACAG
rnacentral:rRNA from 1 species